rnacentral:rRNA from 1 species
UGCGGCACGCCUAAUACAUGCAAGUCGAACGAGAAAGCACUUCGGUGUGAGUACAGUGGCGGACGGGUGAGUAACGCGUAGGAAUCUACCUAGUAGUGGGGGACAACUCGAGGAAACUCGAGCUAAUACCGCAUACGCUCUAUGGAGGAAAGUGGGGGAUCUUCGGACCUCACGCUAUUAGAGGAGCCUGCGUUAGAUUAGCUAGUUGGUGAGGUAAAGGCUCACCAAGGCUACGAUCUAUAGCUGGUCUGAGAGGACGAUCAGCCACACUGGAACUGAGACACGGUCCAGACUCCUACGGGAGGCAGCAGUAGGGAAUCUUGGGCAAUGGGCGAAAGCCUGACCCAGCGAUGCCGCGUGUGCGAAGAAGGCCUUAGGGUUGUAAAGCACUUUCAGUUGCGAAGAAAAGCUACGGUUUAAUAUGCCGUGGUCUUGACGUUAACAACAGAAGAAGUACCGGCUAACUCCGUGCCAGCAGCCGCGGUAAUACGGAGGGUACGAACGUUAAUCGGAAUUACUGGGCGUAAAGCGCGCGUAGGCGGUUUGAUAAGUGGGAUGUGAAAGCCCCGGGCUCAACCUGGGAACUGCAUUCCAAACUGUCAAACUAGAGUGUGGUAGAGGGAGGUAGAAUUUCCUGUGUAGCGGUGAAAUGCGUAGAUAUAGGGAAGGGAAUACCGGAUGGCGGAAGGCAGCCCUCCUGGACCAACACUGACGCUGA